UACAGAGGUCUCAAGCGUUGUUCGGAUUCAUUGGGCGUAAAGAGCUCGUAGGCGGCUCAGUAAGUCGGGUGUGAAAACUCCAGGCUCAACCUGGAGACGCCACCUGAUACUGCUGUGGCUAGAGUCCGGUAGGGGAGCAUGGAAUUCCUGGUGUAGCGGUGAAAUGCGCAGAUAUCAGGAGGAACACCAGUGGCGAAGGCGGUGCUCUGGGCCGGAACUGACGCUGAGGAGCGAAAGCGUGGGGAGCAAACAGG
rnacentral:rRNA from 1 species